GAUGAACGCUAGCGGGAGGCCUAACACAUGCAAGCCGAGCGGUAUUGUUUCUUCGGAAAUGAGAGAGCGGCGUACGGGUGCGUAACACGUGUGCAACCUGCCUUUAUCUGGGGGAUAGCCUUUCGAAAGGAAGAUUAGUACUCCAUAAUAUAUUGAACGGCAUCGUUUAAUAUUGAAAGCUCCGGCGGAUAGAGAUGGGCACGCGCAAGAUUAGCUAGUUGGUGAGGUAACGGCUCACCAAGGCGAUGAUCUUUAGGGGGCCUGAGAGGGUGAUCCCCCACACUGGUACUGAGACACGGACCAGACUCCUACGGGAGGCAGCAGUGAGGAAUAUUGAUCAAUGGGUGCAAGCCUGAACCAGCCAUCCCGCGUGAAGGACGACUGCCCUAUGGGUUGUAAACUUCUUUUGUAUAGGGAUAAACCUACCCUCGUGAGGGUAGCUGAAGGUACUAUACGAAUAAGCACCGGCUAACUCCGUG
rnacentral:rRNA from 1 species